CACACUGUCACCCAGGCUGGAGUACAGUGGCAUAACCUCUGCUCACUGCAGCCUCCACCUGCCAGGCUCAAGCAAUUCUCCUGCCUCAGCCUCCCGAGUAGCUGGGAUUACAGGUAAGUGCCACCACACCCAGCUGAUUUUUGUGUUUUUUGUAGAGACGAGGUUUCGCCAUGUUUCCCAGACUGUUCUCAAACUCCUGAGCUCAAAGCAGUCCACCCACCUUGGCCUCCCAAAGUGCUGGGAUUACAGGUGUGAGCCACCUUGCUCAUUCUAGUUUAAACUUUGGAGUGGUUUGUGUCUCCUGAUUGGACUCCUGCAAAUACAGAAUUGAUGCUAGGAAGGGUACCAGGAGAUAGACGCACACAGAUGGGAUUUGGGAAUAGGUUUGGUUAUCCAAGGAGCAGUGCUGAGCUCCUUGCUAAUGGGAUAUGGGAUGCUGGUGAUUUCCAGUAAGUGACCUCAAAAUUACUCAGGCUACCACAUACUGUUGAUUGUGAUGAAAUGCCAGUUGAAGCACCUGUCCUGCGAGCUUAGGGGUGCUACAAGUUGACCACUGCAGCAGUAAAGAUGACUCUGAAGAAUGGCAUGGGAUGGAUCCUUUCGAAUGCACUUGAGCAGCGGUCUCCAACCACAGGGCCACAGAGCUGGAGCUGGAUCUACCAUGAAAGACCUCUGAAUCCAGGAAGAGAGACUGACUGAGCAACAUGUUAUUCAGGUACAAAAAGAUUUGGACUGUAACUCAAAAAUGAUCAAAUAAUAGUGCAUGCAUCAAGUGCAAUGGGAAGCUCUUCUGGAGAGUGAGAGAAGCUUCCAGUUAAGGUGACAUUGAAGCCAAGUCCUGAAAGAUGAGGAAGAGUUGUAUGAGAGUGGGGAGGGAAGGGGGAGGUGGAGGGAUGGGGAAUGGGCUGGGAUGGGAUGGAGCAAACUGCCCGGGAAGGGAAACCAGCACUGUACAGACCUGAACAACGAAGAUGGCAUAUUUUGUUCAGGGAAUGGUGAAUUAAGUGUGGCAGGAAUGC
rnacentral:lncRNA from 1 species